UUAGCGGCGGACGGGUGAGUAACACGUGGAUAACCUACCUAUAAGACUGGGAUAACUUCGGGAAACCGGAGCUAAUACCGGAUAACAUGUUGAACCGCAUGGUUCAACAGUGAAAGACGGUCUUGCUGUCACUUAUAGAUGGAUCCGCGCCGCAUUAGCUAGUUGGUAAGGUAACGGCUUACCAAGGCAACGAUGCGUAGCCGACCUGAGAGGGUGAUCGGCCACACUGGAACUGAGACACGGUCCACACGG
rnacentral:rRNA from 1 species